CGCUGGUUACCCGGGUGCUUACCCCGGUUGCUGUUUAUACCCGGGUGCUCACCCCGGUUGUUGAUGUUGUUGUUGCUGGUGCCGCUCCUUGCGGUCGCUGAUUACCCUGGGUGC